GGUGAUGUUAUACGUACCUUUCGGGAGAGCAUCACGUUCGCAACGUGGGGGUCGUGGGUUCGAAUCCCAUCAUCUCCACCA
rnacentral:tRNA from 1 species